rnacentral:rRNA from 1 species
UACGGGGGGGGCAAGCGUUGUUCGGAAUUACUGGGCGUAAAGGGCUCGUAGGCGGCCAACUAAGUCAGACGUGAAAUCCCUCGGCUUAACCGGGGAACUGCAUCUGAUACUGGAUGGCUUGAGAUUGGGAGAGGGGUGCGGAAUUCCAGGUGUAGCGGUGAAAUGCGUAGAUAUCUGGAGGAACACCGGUGGCGAAGGCGGCCUGCUGGGUUCUGGCUGACACUGAGGCGCGACAGCGUGGGGAGCAAACAGG